GUCGCUUGUACUAUAUAAUAAGGUAUAAGAGGAAAGUCCGGGCAGCACAGGGCGCUCCACUUCCGAAAAUAGAAGGUGCCGGCGACGGCAGGUCAGAGCAGAAGAAAACAACCGCCAGUCUUUGUAGUGUGUUUACGAGGCAUGGUAAGGGUGAGAAGGCGGUGUAAGAGACCACCAGGCAACGGGCGACCGUUUGCGCUGUGCUCACUGGAGGCUGCAAGUUCAUGUAUACCAUCGUCUGAGGGUUGCCCGCCCGACUAACUCCGAUGGAGGGUAGAACGCUAAAGAUGCAGGGUGACUUGCAUAUUAGAUAAAUGACAGGCAGCGGCGGCCACAGCGCCUCCGACACAGAACCCGGCUUACAGGAAC
rnacentral:RNase_P_RNA from 1 species